ensembl:lncRNA
CAACAUUUGCCACCAAUUAUGAGACGUUUAUGUGUGAGAACGCGAAGGCUAAUCAGGUUUCCCAGAGACUAUGGGUUGAGGAGGAAGUGGAAGUUUGUCGGCUUAGACCUGGUGUCAUUCCAUCAGUGUUAAACUUCCUGGCUCAUCUUUGAAGAGUAUGUGCCAGAAAGACCACGACCAAGCAGCCUUGAGAUCUUAGGCAGCAUCUCCCUGAGGUCCCUCUCUAUCUCCCCACACAUCCACCAACCACUGGAACACAUCUCCAAAGUUCUGCCGGGCCAGCUCAGCUUCCCCUCAGAAGAAGUGCCGCCACCUGCCAGAUGAAGGAGCCUUUUGAGAGGCAGCUGGCAUCGUGAUUGGACUGUACUUUGGUCUGUUCCAAUCCAGCUUCAGCUCCAGAGACGGCAGGCGGGACGAGUCAACGGAGGCCGGGUGGACGAAGGCAUGCAGCUGAGUACAAUCCAGAAAACAACAGAGGAGGAGUGCAGUGGCUCAGGGCCAGAACAACCAGAGUAGCAUCUCGCUGUAAAAAGUCAGUCCAUCCUGGCCGACUUCAACAUCUCUUCAUGACAAGUUGUUCUGCCUCUGACCUGGUGGAAACUCCAGAAACUCGGGAAAACCCGUGGAGACUCGAAGAACUCGUGGAGACUCGAAGAACUCGUCGGGCGGGG